AUCCAGCUGACGAGUCCCAAUAGGACGAAACGCGCGUCCUGGAU
rfam:Schistosoma mansoni strain Puerto Rico chromosome 1, complete genome